AGUAUAAACAACUUACUCUUUUUAAAAGGUGUUUGCGUCUGCACUGAACGAUACUCUCUCCUUCUAAUUUGGGUUAGGCGACUUUUUGUCUGCAAACAGUUAAGUAACAAAAUAAAUAAAAACCUAAGGAAAGGGAUCAAGGGAUCAUUGUAGUUGUACUGUAAUCUACCGACAGUUUUAAGAAUCUGCGUCCCCCUCUCCCUUUCUCCGCUGGAAAAUAAACCUAAACGUUUUAAGAGAGUACAAGUUGCUAUGGAAAUGCAGAGAUCUACUUUAUCCUAAACAAUUUUGAUGUUUAUGACAAAUCUGAGAACUCUGCAAGUUUCAACAGGUGAAGUGCAUGGUAAUAAAACUAAAGUAGAAAAGAGCAAGUAAAGAGUUAUUUUUUAGUAAAAAAUCGAAUUAACUAAAACAGACGGUAAAACACUAACUAGGAGAAAUUUGAUUUCGGACGGAGGGGCAACAUCAACACCUCCCGUUGCUUUGUGGCUGUUGCUGCUGACUCCUGAAGCCAUCUCGCCUUUUUUAGGCCGUAGACUCGUGUUAAGUGUAAAUACACAGCGAAAACCUGUAGCUCUUUCAUUCGAUGCCUUCCUUUUCAGUUCAUCUUCAUCAUUGGUCUCAACACUUUGAGCUUUAUCAGACUCGGUUGAUGCUAUCUUUUCCAGAUCAUCAGCAUUUGUCUCGAUACUCUGAUCAGCUCUCUCCGGCUCGCCAAGCAAUUCAUCUAGCAUCUGAUAAUGAAGAAUAAAAAUAAAACUUCCCCACUGGCCUUUAUUUGGUGUAAUUUUAUGUAAAGAACAUGCAUGCCCCGGUUUCACGUUUGUCCUGAUCGGUAGGCUUAUUUAUAAAGGCCAGUUUAACCCCCACUUUUUGUCGCUCCAAUUUCUUUUGUAUAUUAGUAAAUCGCGAGGAUAUAUUGUUAGCUUGAUUACAAGAUCUUUUGCAUCUAAUAACUGACCCGACAGGGUGGAAAGAACUUGACUUGGAAAACUUGAUGAGGCUCAUAUCUACAGCUCCUUGGCACUGAUUCCGGUUCACAUGCGUUAAAACGCAACUUCAGUAAAUGUGGUAAGAUGUGCGACAUCGGAACAUUUCUAAUAUGGUUAUUACAGAGACCAGGCGGAUUGACACCACUUGGAUUGUUAACGGUGAACUGACUGAUCGUUCUGCACUCAGUGACCAGUUAUCAGAUUUUUGUGCACAGUAUCCGAUAUACCACGUGAAAAAAGCGUAAGAGAGUCUGGAGGUGACAGGAAUCGAAACAAAAGAAAGAGCACAUCGUGCUCGGAGAGAACAACCAUGGACCUUCAUGACGGUGAACCUUUGUGCCAUUGGGGCAUGGACCUGAAUACUGCCUACCAAAAAUGUCCCAAGCCUGAAUGGAAACUGCACGAAUACCACAGCUGUGUCAAAUACGUCGAGUGCAGUGAUGAUAGUGGCAAGUCAUAUGACCAAGGCUGCAUAACUUUUCACGACUAUCGCUUUCUUGUGUGCUACGAGUUUAUUUGCGAGAACAACAAUAUGGAUCAAGAUGAUCAUCAACAAUAUGGGUCUGGGUCAGACCAAGGGUCUGGGGAGGAGUCUGGUUAGGGUGGAUCAGGCGAUGUUUUGGAACGACUGUAAUCAGAUUGGAUCCGGCAAUGUCAGGUCAAAUGCAGUUCCUCUUUUCCCUUAGUUCGUCGUCCGAAAAGAAAAAGACUUGAAGGAAGAAUUGACCGCGCAAAAACUGGGGAUAAGCUGCCCAACUCGCCCCAGGCAACCACGCGGAUAGCUGUAGAGACGAGGUCGCUCUCACUUUUGGCGCGGUCUUUAUUUCCUCUCGCCCGCCUCUUUUAAUUCGACGAAGGAAAGGGUAAAAAAAUAACUGCUCAGAGUAAAUGUGUUUUCGGAUAGGAUAUGCUAUUUUCAUAUCCUGGAUUUGACUGAUUUUUUUGGCGUAAAACGUGAUUUUCUUAAACGUGAUUCAGUUUUCAGUUCGCAUUGAAUUGUGAUUUUGUAGCCAUCGGCAGGAAUUCCGUGAACUAAAUAAAAUAUGAAAACUCUAGUUUCAUUUUGAAUAAAGAAUGUUCGACAAAAAGAA